AUUGAACGCUGGCGGCAUGCCUUACACAUGCAAGUCGAACGGUAACAGGUCUUCGGAUGCUGACGAGUGGCGAACGGGUGAGUAAUACAUCGGAACGUGCCUAGUAGGGGGGGAUAACUACUCGAAAGAGUGGCUAAUACCGCAUGAGAUCUACGGAUGAAAGCAGGGGAUCGGAAGACCUUGGGCUACUAGAGCGGCCGAUGGCAGAUUAGGUAGUUGGUGGGAUAAAAGCUUACCAAGCCGACGAUCUGUAGCUGGUCUGAGAGGACGAUCAGCCACACUGGGACUGAGACACGGCCCAGACUCCUACGGGAGGCAGCAGUGGGGAAUUUUGGACAAUGGGCGCAAGCCUGAUCCAGCAAUGCCGCGUGCAGGAUGAAGGCCUUCGGGUUGUAAACUGCUUUUGUACGGAACGAAAAGCCCCGGGUUAAUACCCUGGGGUCAUGACGGUACCGUAAGAAUAAGCACCGGCUAACUACGUGCCAGCAGCCGCGGUAA
rnacentral:rRNA from 1 species